AGACCGAUAGCGAACAAGUACCGUGAGGGAAAGAUGAAAAGAACUUUGAAAAGAGAGUUAAAGAGUACCUGAAACUGCUGAAAGGGAACCGAAUCGUUUCCAGUGUCUAUAAUCCGUGGUAUAUUUCAUUGGCGAGUGUGUGCGUGCGUGUGCUGUGGCAGCGGCUUUUUAGGCUGCGCUCGGCGUGUGUGCUGUGUGUGCUUGCUGGUGCCCUGUACUGCGGUGGGACGUCAAGGUCAGUUCGUAUGCUGCGGGAAAUGGCUGCCGAGGAGGUAGGGCUUACGCUUGCGUUUGUCUGUUAUAUCUUGGUGGACGAGUAGUCGCGGUUGGGACUGAGGUGCCUACAACGUGCUUUUGAGUGGGUUUGUGUCUCCGUGUGCGCCGUGUGCGGAUAGCUUGCUAUGCGUGUGUGGUUGUGUGUGGAUUGAUGCGGGCCUUUAACUUGUUGCCGUUCGGGACGUUGACGAAAUGGAGCGAUUCGACCCGUCUUGAAACACGGACCAGG
rnacentral:rRNA from 1 species